rnacentral:rRNA from 1 species
CACGCAGGUGGUUUGCUAAGUUUGACGUGAAAGCGCCUGGCUUAACUGGGCGAGGUCGUUGGAGACUGGCAGACUAGAGGUGAGGAGAGGGGUGUAGAAUUCCCGGUGUAGUGGUGGAAUGCGUAGAUAUCGGGAGGAAUACCAGUGGCGAAAGCGGCACCCUGGCCUUGGCCUGACGCUCAUGUGCGAAAGCGUGGUAGCAAACG